AGGCAGCAGUGGGGAAUUUUGGACAAUGGGCGAAAGCCUGAUCCAGCAAUGCCGCGUGCAGGAAGAAGGCCUUCGGGUUGUAAACUGCUUUUGUACGGAACGAAACGGUCUGCUUUAAUACAGUGGGCUAAUGACGGUACCGUAAGAAUAAGCACCGGCUAACUACGUGCCAGCAGCCGCGGUAAUACGUAGGGUGCGAGCGUUAAUCGGAAUUACUGGGCGUAAAGCGUGCGCAGGCGGUUAUAUAAGACAGUUGUGAAAUCCCCGGGCUCAACCUGGGAAUUGCAUCUGUGACUGUAUAGCUAGAGUACGGUAGAGGGGGAUGGAAUUCCGCGUGUAGCAGUGAAAUGCGUAGAUAUGCGGAGGAACACCGAUGGCGAAGGCAAUCCCCUGGACCUGUACUGACGCUCAUGCACGAAAGCGUGGGGAGCAAACAGGAUUAGAUACCCUGGUAG
rnacentral:rRNA from 1 species